rnacentral:rRNA from 1 species
CCUACGGGAGGCAGCAGUAAGGAAUCUUGCGCAAUGGGCGAAAGCCUGACGCAGCGACGCCGCGUGGGCGAUGAAGGCCUUCGGGUUGUAAAGCCCUUUUCUGGGGGACGAGGAAGGACGGUACCCCAGGAAUAAGUCACGGCUAACUACGUGCCAGCAGCCGCGGUAAAACGUAGGUGGCUAGCGUUAUCCGGAUUCACUGGGCGUAAAGAGCGCGUAGGCGGUGUGCUAAGUUGGACGUGAAAGCCCCCGGCUUAACCGGGGGAGGUCGUCCAAUACUGGUGCACUUGAGGGUGGACGGGGAAAGCGGAAUUCCCGGUGUAGUGGUAAAAUGCGUAGAUAUCGGGAGGAAGGCCGGUGGCGAAGGCGGCCCUCUG